rnacentral:rRNA from 1 species
AUUGAACGCUGGCGGCAGGCCUAACACAUGCAAGUCGAACGAAUCGCGGACGGGUGAGUACUGUACGGGACCCUGCCUGAUGGAUGGGGAUAACUAAUGGAAACGGUAGCUAAUAACGCAUACCAUCGGAUGUGCCCAGAUGGGAUUAGCUAGUGGGUGGGGGAAAGGCUGACCUAGGCGACGAUCCCUAGCUGGUGUGAGAGGAUGACCAGCCACACUGGAACUGAGACACGGCCCAGACUCCUACGGGAGGCAGCAGUGGGGAAUAUUGGACAAUGGGCGCAAGCCUGAUGCAGCCAUGCCGCGUGUAUGAAGAAGGCCUUCGGGUUGUAAAGUACUUUCAGCAGGGAGGCGUUACCUGCAGAAGAAGCACCGGCUAACUCCGUGCCAGCAGCCGCGGUAAUAC